GAUGAACGCUGGCGGCGUGCUUAACACAUGCAAGUCGAACGAGAAGUGAAGACGGAAACCUUCGGGCGGAAGGCUUUAUUUCGAGUGGCGGACGGGUGAGUAACGCGUGGGUAACCUGCCUCAUACAGGGGGAUAACAGUUGGAAACGACUGUUAAUACCGCAUAAGACCACAGCACCGCAUGGUGCGGGGGUAAAAACUCCGGUGGUAUGAGAUGGACCCGCGUUCGAUUAGCCAGUUGGCGGGGUAACGGCCCACCAAAGCGACGAUCGAUAGCCGAUCUGAGAGGAUGACCGGCCACAUUGGGACUGAGACACGGCCCAAACUCCUACGGGAGGCAGCAGUGGGGAAUAUUGCACAAUGGGGGAAACCCUGUUGCAGCGACGCCGCGUGAGUGAAGAAGUAUUUCGGUAUGUAAAGCUCUAUCAGCAGGGAAGAAAAUGACGGUACCUGAGUAAGAAGCCCCGGCUAACUACGUG
rnacentral:rRNA from 1 species